rnacentral:rRNA from 1 species
UACGGAGGGUGCAAGCGUUAAUCGGAAUUACUGGGCGUAAAGCGCACGCAGGCGGCUUGUUAAGUCAGAGGUGAAAUCCCCGGGCUCAACCUGGGAACUGCCUUUGAUACUGGCAAGCUUGAGUCACGUAGAGGUGGGUAGAAUUCCAGGUGUAGCGGUGAAAUGCGUAGAGAUCUGGAGGAAUACCGGUGGCGAAGGCGGCCCCCUGGACGAACACUGACGCUCAGGUGCGAAAGCGUGGGGAGCGAACAGG